UACGUAGGGGGCAAGCGUUGUUCGGAAUUACUGGGCGUAAAGGGCUCGUAGGCGGCCAACUAAGUCGGACGUGAAAUCCCUCAGCUUAACUGGGGAACUGCGUCUGAUACUGGUUGGCUUGAGUGCAGGGAGAGGAACGCGGAAUUCCAGGUGUAGCGGUGAAAUGCGUAGAUAUCUGGAGGAACACCGGUGGCGAAGGCGGCGUUCUGGACUGCAACUGACACUGAGGAACGAAAGCCAGGGGAGCAAACGGG
rnacentral:rRNA from 1 species